rnacentral:lncRNA from 13 species
CGCCCCGCGUCGCAGAGACGGCCCCGCCCCCGUCACGGAGGGCACCUGGCCGCACGCCUUGCUACCCUCCCGGCUUGCAAGAGGGGGCGAGCCAGGCCUCCUGUAACCUGAGCGUGACUAUGAGGGGACGACGUGGGAACCAGGCCUUCUCCCUAGGAGAGGGAAAAGGAACCAGAGUCCCCGCCAUCUUUUUGGUUGGAGAGAAAAAGAGUCGUGUCCCAGCUGAGAUGGAGGCGAAGGAAACCAACCUCACUCCCUUUGGAAGAAUAAGAGGUGUCAGCCUCCCUACCCAGAGAAGUGGGAAAGGACCCCUUUAGAAGAAAGAAUGUGGCAGAGACCUCUCCUGCCAAACAAGAAUGCUAACAAGGACAACUGAGGCUGCUCACUAAUGAUCAUCCUGUAGUGACUAACAAGAGGGGAUGUGAAUCAGAGAAGCCACUGGAGGUUGAGAUGUCUCUGGAAGGACAUUUAAUGUCAAUCAGUUUGAAGCAUGUCCAGCAUGGAUAAGCUCUAGGAGGAUUUAAUGUUAGAAUUAGAGAAUUUCAAAAAUAUCAUCUGCCCAGCAACCAAGUCGAUUCUUAGUUCUGGCUCUUCCUGUCUUGCCCCAUCUGAUAGCAGCUUAUGUUAAAAGCUAAGGCUCAGUGGAGGAAAAGUGACUUGCUUGAGG